rnacentral:tRNA from 1 species
GGGUAUGUGGUGAAAUUGGUAUACACGCUACUUUGAGGGGGUAGUCGGGGAAAUCCCGGUGAGAGUUCGAAUCUCUUCAUGCCCA